ACAACAAAGUCAUGCCAUGACCAAAUCCUAACCAGAACACAUUUAAUAAAAUGGAUUGCAUCUGGCUGCUGUAAUAGUGUAUAUAUACAUGCUAACGACAUGAACGUUCCAUCAGGCCAUGAUCAACUACUCAAAACCAUUACGUGCUUUGCAAAAAACAUAGAAGUAAUCAGCAGAUGACACAAUGAACAAGUGAAGGCUUUAAAUAUCUCCAUGUCGAAGAAUCAAGUCAAUGAAGACAUGCAGUAGGAGAAGGAGCAGCCUUGCAUCAUCGUUUGCUCAGGUCGACGCUAGAAAGUGUGCCGCUGUACAUGAUCAGAACCCGCACGGCAUAGGUACGCCUCGCCAAGGGAGUAGUCCAGUGCCCGUUCCACAGGGACUGCCACCGGACGGUCGACUCGCAUAUACUUGCCAACAUCACGAUAAUAUAAGAUAAUUAUAAUCAGGAAAAAUCACAUUGAUUCAAGCAUAUAACUUGCUGGGGUACCAUAACAUCAUUAUGUGGCAACAAUUUUUUUGCUUUCUAUAUACCAUUGUCAUCAAUCUUAGAUUUAACAAAGCAAGAACUACAAAUGCAACAUAGCCUCAAAUUUAACAAAGCAAGAAUUGUAAAUGCAACAUAGGCAUCCAAGUUACAGAAUAUAAAUUUCAGAAAUUUAAACAGAAGGAUGGAAUGGGGGCACAGAACCUUUAGUAGCAAGAGCUGGUUCGUGUGGUACAUGUAAACAUCCCUAGCAAAUAGAAGGCAGUUUAUUAUAACACAACAAAUGUGUUAAAAUUCAAGGCUAAUCUAUGUGACAUGAGUGAGUGCAGAGGGAGUGCUCUUGUACAAUUAGAGAAACAAAAGUGAUGUGUACAUGAUACAAUACACAGAGAGAGUUUGCUCCAGCCAGAUUCAAUCAUCCAAAAAUGAACCAUAAAGUGAUGCACACAUACAGAACUUGCUCCAUUUUGACUAGAGGCGUGAACAUCUGUUGUUCUUGUCAGUUGUUUAUAGAGUGUUUACCGACUCUAGAGGCAAAAAUGGCAAGCAUAAUGUGUACAUCACCAGUAGCAAAAUCCCAGAAACAAACCUAUCUCAGAAUCUGCACAGCAUUUACCCAAAAUGUAGCACCUAUGUAGAAGAAACUAUGAAAUGUGUAGAAGAAUCAUCACAUGAACAAACAAACUAGACCCCCAUGAACUUGGAAGGCUGUGAACACUAGCAGGACGCACGACAGACCUUGGAAGACUGACUGCGUGUAACCUGUGAGGAAUACAAAUAACACAGGGGCAUAAUACCAAUCCUACACACAUCACUUCUAUGCUGGUAGGAAUAGGAUAGCAUACAAGAACUACAUACUAUAAACUAGUACUCCACAACAUCCUGAAUCCUUGGCAAUACAAUCUGCCAGAAGAUGUUGCAAAAGAAUGCCAUAGCAAAAGGAUCACUCGCGGCCAGGAUCAUUUGGCAGCACGAAACAAGAACUCGGUGUGCAAGACCUGUAAUUAGGCAUGGAGACAGCAAAGGAAACUCACCAAAACAUUUCGGCCUCCUGUCGCUGCGCGCGACCUCGAGCACCUCCGUCGCG
rnacentral:lncRNA from 1 species